CACUUUCUCGCCGGCGUGGCGCGACCCAAACACAACGACAACAAAGUGUGUUGCGUGGAGCUUUCAGGUAUUUCGGUGCAACCGUAGCCUACAGUGUGCCUACGCUAGAGCAAGGGUCUACUUUAUUAGAUCAUUGUAAUUACCUUACUACCGGUGGGUAGCGCAGCGGGUGGAAUGGUAUUGUUUUGCUUCCUAUCAUUAUUAAAGCCUACUACGUGAAACUAAGCGAAAACAAGCCAGUAGCGGGAAUGGACCUGCCGGUUCGGUUAUCACUCGUAGUUCAUCUAGAUCUGCGUUUUCCCUUCCUUCUCGCCGCUUGCACAACCCGGGAUACGCAUUUGCGAUCUUAAUGCGGCUUUAUCAGGCCUGGUGAUUAAUUUUCGCUUGAAUAGAAAUAUUAUUACCGGCAGCUGGGGCGUAAUGAUACGCAGUCAACCAAUAAAAAUUCUAGAGUUAGCACGCACCCCAGCAUCGCCUACGGGCAUGAACUUUUGCGUGACAUGACAUCGUAUGGAAAUGAUCUGCAUCGCCCAACCAGUUAACAGAUUUGGUGGUCUACCUGUUCUACUUGGCGAAGCCCGAUGGAAGGAUGCAAUGGUAGUCAAGGGGCUUAAAAUCGGAUCUGAGCACGUGAUUCAUCAGCGGAACAGCGCUUUCUGGUUACGCGUGUUCAGUUGCGUGUUUAUUAUUGCUGUUCUAUUAUAGGGAAUCUGAUGUUAAUUGGAAUUAUACAAAAACUGAUCACGAUCGGGAACUAUGAAGUAAUGAUCAGAAAAACCCUAGAUUACACGAUUUAGCAUAAUAUGAUUAUUCUAUAGCGAUAUUGGUUUUUAUACAAAUAAAAAAUCUUGUGAAGUUA